UACGUAGGGCGCAAGCGUUGUCCGGCAUUCUUGGGCGUAAAGAGCUCGUAGGCGGCUUGUCACGUCGGGUGUGAAAGCCCGGGGCUUAACCCCGGGUCUGCAUUCGAUACGGGCUAGCUAGAGUGUGGUAGGGGAGAUCGGAAUUCCUGGUGUAGCGGUGAAAUGCGCAGAUAUCAGGAGGAACACCGGUGGCGAAGGCGGAUCUCUGGGCCAUUACUGACGCUGAGGAGCGAAAGCCAGGGGAGCAAACGGG
rnacentral:rRNA from 1 species